CCUACGGGCGGCAGCAGUGAGGAAUAUUGGUCAAUGGGCUUACGCCUGAACCAGCCAAGUCGCGUGAGGGAAGACUGCCCUAUGGGUUGUAAACCUCUUUUGUCAGGGAGCAAUUGGCGCUACGUGUAGCGUUAUCGAGAUUACCUGAAGAAAAAGCAUCGGCUAACUCCGUGCCAGCAGCCGCGGUAAUACGGAGGAUGCGAGCUUUAUCCGGAUUUUUUGGGUUUAAAGGGUGCGUAGGCGGAAUGCCAAGUCGGCGGUAAAAUCGCGGGGCUCAACCUCGCUCCGCCGUUGAUACUGGCGUUCUUGAGUGGGCGAGAGGUAGGCGGAAUGCGUGGUGUAGCGGUGAAAUGCAUAGAUAUCACGCAGAACUCCGAUUGCGAAGGCAGCAUACCGGCGCCCAACUGACGCUGAAGCACGAAAGCGUGGGUAUCGAACAGGAUUAGAUACCCCAGUAGUC
rnacentral:rRNA from 1 species